AGUUGUCAGUAUCUCUACUAGUAAGUAUUGGCAUGGCGCAAUCAAAUUGACGGGUGACAUUUACAUGUGGGAUGGGAUGAAAGCUAAGGACAAGCCACUAGAAGUGACUAUGCCAUUCACCGGGGCUUCGGUCGCCGGCUCCCCUGUCAUCAGAUCACCAACUUCCUUGACCUUCCGGCCCCACUGGGAGAAUUUCAUAACUGUGGAGAUGGUCAUUAAUUACAAACUAAGGUUCGCGGGGGAAUCCUAGAGGGGAAAGCGCAAGUUCUUACAUUAUUUCAAGUAAAAUCUUUCCGUAAGCUUCGUCAAGCCCAGCUCUAUAAAUCCUUUGCUUUCCACUUCAAAAGGCCUUCCAAGCUUACUCUUUUUUUCUAUUAGAGUCGCGUAGUGAAAUCUUCUUCCGAAGCUUGAGCCGAGCCUCCACCUAUUGAAGUAGAAAGAUAAAUUCCCCGACUCAACGGAUUAUUAUGCCCUAGUCUUGCAUUAUCAAAUGGAUAGACCAGGGUCUUGAUGUUAUUUUCAAAUGGAGUUGAUUUCCAAGCUUAACAAUCCAUACAUUGCUGAAUAUAAAUAUUCUUGGGUGGACAAGGAGUAGUCAUGGUCUUGCGUGGAGAUAGAGGACAUACUGACAUGAGUUAAAUGAGGUUGGGAGAAAACAAGCCAUCAUAGUAAAGAGAGAAAAUGGGGUAGAUCAGAUAGUUGCGUGGAUUACUGGUAUAAAUGGUUUUUUCCGACUCCGGCCGUUUAUAGUUUAUUCCCUUCCAAGCUUGAGCCCGCCACUUGUCAUAUGUAAUCCAUUGUCUACCAAAAAGUUGGUCACCAAAUCUCUAUGAGUCAAGCAUAAAAGUUGCGCUUGAUUUUGUAUCCCCUGAGAAUGUUCGUGAGUGUAUCCGCCUGGCUGGGGACUUCCGGGAUCUCCCUCAAAACCACAAGGCCAAGGAGGAUAUGUUGGAGAUAUAUGUUAGUUGCAGUUUGUGGUUAGUGUUAUUAUUGCUAUUGUAACCUCAGGUUGCAACAGUACCAAUUGUCAAGGAUGCUAUUCAAUAUUUAGUUAUUAAAUUCUCUUCUUGAUGCUGGAGAAAAAUAUGACGCUUUAUGCUGUGAAGAUGGCUAUACAAAAUUUAGGGUUUCAGGAGAGUGAUGACUCGGAUGUUGACAAAAAUAUUGAUUUCGAGCAUGAAUCUGAGCAAAAGUCAGAGUUAGAGCUAAACAGGUCUGCAGUUAAAGGGUGUUUUUGAUCCUAUUAGUUACCAGAGAAGGCUUAUCUUUUGUAGUACCACUAUAGUCUGCUGGGUAACUAUUUGAGAGGUAGUCUGAUUGUGUCAAUUAGACUUGACGGAAGAUUUAGGGCAUUUUGUGAAGUUGAUUGUACAGAUCUAAUCUUAAAAUUUAUCAACAAAAUCGAGGGAAUUAAGUAAUACGAGGUAGAUAAAAUCAAAAAAUCAAGAAAAAAAAAAAACCAUAACUAACCAUUGAUAGUAAUCCACAUAAAUAUGAUACUAUGUGUUAGACAUGAAAAAACAAAAAACUCUCCAUGGUUACCUUGAAUUAUAAUAGAAGCAGAUUUUUUUUUAAAAAAAAA